AUCAAGAGCUGCUGGCUGAGACCCACCUCCAUGAAGAGGAAAUGAAAUCAGCAGCACAGUCAUUGAAAAGAAACUUGGCAGAAAGUGCAAUGGGAAGGUCUGGUAAGGUUACCUGAAACACACUGUGGGUAUUGGGGCUGGAGAGGUGUGUGGGGGAUGGAUUUGACUACAGUUUCAAACUGAUUAUGAAUCUGAAAUGUGCCCUGAGUGGGGGUAAACCCCAAAGCAUUGCCCCAAAUACAUAAUGUAUUUGAGGCUGAGCUUGUUCACGCUUGUUUGCAGAUGUUGCUAUUAACAAAGAUCAUUCCCACAGGCACUGUUUUCCUGAUAACUCUGCACCAGUAUAGAAAGAAUAGAUAAUAGAAGGAAUCUAGUUGUCUAAGCAGUGUAAGACUUUCUAAGGAUUAAGGUAUUGUAAAUUUUAUGUUACUUUUAAACAAAUGUCUAUAGAGACCUGAAUGCCCAAGAACUUUUCAGAAAGGGCAAAGCAAAUUAUUAGAGGUUGGAGAGUAUCCCAUGAUAGGAGAGAUUACAAAGAUUACAGCUAUUUAGUUUAGUAAAGAGACUAAUAAGAAGUGACAUGCCAAAGGUAUAUAAAAUAAUGUAUGGCAAAAAGAAGGUCAGCAGGUGCUCCUAUUUAUCCUGUCUUGUGAAAGAGGCACAGGAGGAUACCUAAUUAAAUUAAAAGACAAUAAAUUUAAAACUGGUAAAGAAAAUGCCCUUUUAUGUCACAUAUAGUUAAUCUGUGGAACUCACUGCCACAAUAAAUUAUGGAGCUAAAGACUUUUAGUUGAAUUCAAAAACCUAUUAGAUAGAUAAAAAAAGACAGAAUUGUCAAAAACAUCCAAGUUCAGUUUUCAGAAGUAACUGAGGUUCUUAUGCAUAAAGAAACAUAAGCACCAUGCCAAACUCUUUACGUUAAAUACUUGCUGGAUAAUACGUAGACCAUCUUGACUGCAGAGGUCAGACUGCCAAGUUUACUCUUGCAUUUUCUAAUUAAAGAAUUAGAUUUUUUUGUUAAGCAGAACACCUGAGGCAAGAAAAUGUUCCCUUUAGAGGCAACCUUGAAGCUCUGAGGUCAGUUGUGCUGUAAGGAGCAUGGGACCCCCUCCGUCAGAGAAGGGAUUUGGGCUUAUAUCUGUAAUGUCUUUACUAUGUUCUUGAGUUGCUAUCCUACUCGUUUUAAUAUCUAGGCUGUCAUGUGACUUCCUUAUUUCUUGGAGAGCCUCAUAUUGCUGAUGUAUAUAGGUGUGAUAUGGGCAUCUCAAUUCUCCCUUUCUCAGAACUCUGGCGUUCAAAUUCCUAAUUUGUGAAGCACAACUCAACAUAGGCACAAUGCAGACAUCAAGCCAAUAUUGUGUUUCAAUACAGAUACAUGAAACUGGGGAACCUGAAAAUCAACCACAGGUGCUCAGAGAAGGCUGAAUGGAGAGGACAGUGUUUGGUUUUGAAUUUGUAUUGCAUUUUUGCUAUUUAUAAUUCUGGAUUUGAUAUCUUGGUUCUUCACUGGAGCUAGUCAUAUAUAUCUUAGAUCUAAAAAUAAGCUCUGAGUGCUUAAGUAAGCUUUUUAGAAAAUGCUACUUUAAAUGAGAAUUCCGCUGUCACAUCCAUGCUAUUCUAAUGGAACCAUGAGACAACUGAGGAGUAGCAGGAAUCACGGCAAUACAGGAGAAAACUUCCUCAGUUCUGUUGUUGUUUUCAGUGUCUACUUUAUGCAACAGAGCUUGACUGCUGUGGAGCCAAGUGGUUUCAGAUCUAAAUGGGAAAUGUGUUUCCUGAUUCAGCCUCCACCAACACAAUCAACAGUAGAUGAACAACAUGGAAAAAGAGAUGUACACAAAAGUUAGGUGUUGCAGGGAGGACUGGGAGAGGUGAGAUCAGUUUAUGGCUUUUGCAACUGAACAGAAUUUUGAAUCUCUUCAUUUCUGUGUUUAAAUCAUACAUACUCCUUUUGUUCUGCAACUUUCUGUCAUGAUCAUUUAGUGUACUAAUACCAGGAAACAAGAUCUUUCUACAUGAAUGUAGUUGUGUAACCACCAAUGGGAAUAGAAAUAAGUGUAAUUAAAAACAACUGGGAUUUCUGCAGAGGCUGGAGGAACUUCAGUACUCAGCUCAUUCUUGUUCUUCAAAAUUCCACCUAAAACGUUAUUGGCAUGUGAAUGAAUAGCUAGAUAUUUUUAGUGAUGCUAUCAUAUACUAUAUUUGGUAAUUCUGGACUCAGGAUAAGUAAGGUUCUCACAGGUCAUGAUGUCCAGGCUCCUGGAAUUUCAGGCAGUCACAUCAUAUGUUCUUCAUUUAUUGGGCUGAGUUUUAAAACCAGUUAGGGUUUUUGCUCCCCACCUCAUCACAGGACUUGAGUCUGUUCCAGAAUUUGGCUAACCUGUUGGCUGGAGACUCUCCUGAAGCGUGAAACAGAGGACAAAUAAUAGUGACAAUUAAUGACAGACAGGACUACUUACAAGUUAUCAUGUGGUAGUCCAUGAAAAAUGAAAAUAUAGAUGAAAUAUUGCUUUAGGAUCACAUCACGUGAUACGUUUCCAGCAGAGGAGGGAAAACCAAUAGCCCUGGGCAAGACUGAAUGUGCAACGUUCAACCACGAAAGCAUCAGUCAUCAAGAAGCUCUCUACUGACAUAAUUUCUUAAGUAAAUGCGUGUAAAUUCUACUGAAACUCUGUACAAAGCUGGCUUUUAUGUACACUAAACCAACAGACACAUCUCAUGUUCUUCUCUUCUACCACAUACUGUUUGCUGUAGUUACAAAGAGGAAGAAUUAUCUCAUCUCUUAGUCUUUGUCCUGCCAACCUAAAAUACAAGAAGCACUGUUUAUAAGUUAGACUCAUUGUAUCCAAACCACCUGUUUUGUGAACCUGACUAGUCUGAAUAACUAUUUAUUUGCCAUAUAAAUAGCCAGAACAAAUUUUUUCACCUUCUUUAGAACAAAUUUUUUUUCUGGUUUUGUUUGUAUCCACCUUCAUUUCAACUCCCUGAAUUUGAAUAAGUUGAGAUCAAAUUCAAUUAAAAAUAUGAUUAAUGUCUGUGAGUUGAUAUGUUCAGUUCUGGGGCUGGCCCUAACACAAAGGACAAUAACAGCCUAAUUCUAGUUUAUCUGGAGUACUCUGGCUUGUAAUGGAAAUGACAGACCUCUGGCAGUGUUGAUGGAUGCUCCAGCAAUAUAUAUUUCACCAAUUAUCUUUUUAAGAUAAGAAACUUUCACUAUUAGGAGAGCCUUCUCAUUUUCUAUGAAGGCUUGUCCCUUGAUCUGAGAUAUUUCUGGGUUUGGGGAGACGAAGAAAUGUUCUUAAGAUUUGAAUGCAGCCAAUGGAAAAAAUAAUCUAUUAGUAUUUUGGUAAAGUUCAGCCCUGUCAUAGCUAGGUGGCUGGUGAUACUGGCAUGACAUUUAACAAGAACAAGUCCUGAAUUCUGCACCUGGGACAGAGUAAUGUCAGGUCCAAGCAUAAACUGGAAGAGGAGUGGCUGGAGAGAUGCCCUGCAGAAAGGGAUCUGGGGGUGCUGGUUGACAGCAGGCUCAAUGUGAGCCAUCAGUGCAUCCUGGUAGCCAAGAGGGCAAACCACAAACGGGGGCAUAUUAAAGACAGUGUGAUCAGCUGGUCAAAGGAGGACAUUAUCUCACUGUAUUUAGUAUUAAUGCAGUCUUGUCUUGAGUUUGCUGUGCAGUUCUGGGCCCCAAAAUUUAAGGAGGAUGUGAAGGUACUCAAACAGUCCCAAGGAAGGCACCAAAGCUGGGGAAAGGACUGGAAGGCAUGUCCUCUGAGGAGCACCUCAGGACAUGGGGUUUGCCCCGUGUGGAGAGGAGGCUGAGGGCUGACCUGAUUGCUCUCUACAGCUUCCCGAGAAGGGGAAGUGGAGAGGGAGGUGCUGAUCGCUUCUGCUUGGUACCCAGUGCCAGGCUGCAUGGGAGUGUCUUAAAGCUGCGCCUGUCAGGGGAGGUUCGGCCUUGACGUGAGGAAACAUUUCUUGACUGAGAGAGAGGUCAAACCUCGGAACAGGCUUCUUAGGGUGUUGGUCAAUGCCUCAUACCUGUCAGUGUUUAAGAGGCAUUUGGAAAAUGCCCUUAAUACCAUACUUUAUCUUUUGCUGAGCCCUGAAGCGAUCAGGCAGUUGGACUAGAGAUCCUUCUGGGUCCCUUCCAGGUGGACUGCGCUGGCUUAUGCUCGUCUGUGCUAAUGUAUUCUUCUUCCUACCUCCUCUUCCCCUUGCAAUACAUGCUGAGGAAAUCGCUGAUGCCACCUCUUCCCAGCCGCCCCGCCCCGAGCAGAAGGCAUGGAAUGGGCAGCCGUGCCUCAGCCCGGGCAUUGGCUCAGUCAUGCUGUGGGAAAGAAGCACGGAGCUGCUGGUGGAGGAGACAGCUGCGGAUCACCUUGAGAUCUCCUUCCAGCUAGGGACUGAGGCAGAAGACCAAGGAAGGCAGGACUCAGGAGUGUGCUCUGACCCCGAGGGUUUGCACAGCCAGCCUUUGCCUUGCUGAGGGGUCAGGGCGUGCUGCUUCCCUUUUUUCCGAGCUUAACUCCUGCACCUGGAGAAAGAGAGGUUGUUUGCACCCUACAGUUCAUGGAGGCCCUGCAGGUACUGGCAAGUAUCAGCGCUCUGGCCCCACUGUCUACAGCCUUAUCCAUUUGGCGCCUGCUCCAGCCCUCUCACAUUACCAGCAGUGGGGUCUGUUUUC